GACGAACGCUGGCGGCGUGCCUAAUACAUGCAAGUCGAGCGAAGUUUUUCUGGUGCUUUCACUAGAAAAACUUAGCGGCGAACGGGUGAGUCACACGUAACGAACCUGCCUCAUAGACUGGGCCAACUAUUGGAAACGCUAGCUCCUACCGGAUGACAGUAUUUCUCGCAUGAGAGAUAUUUAAAAGUUGGUUCUGCUAACACUAUGCGAUGGCUUUGCGGUGCAUUAGCUAGUUGGUGGGGUAAAGGCCCACCAAGUCGACAAUGCAUAGCCGACCUGAGAGGGUGAUCGGCCACACUGGGACUGAGACACGGCCCAGACUCCUACGGGAGGCAGCAGUAGGGAAUCUUCCGCAAUGGGCGAAAGCCUUACGGAGCAACGCCGCGUGAGUGAAGAAGGAUUUCGGUUCGUAAAGCUCUGUUGUUAGGGAAGAAUGGAUAUGUAGUAACUAUACAUGUAAGAGACGGUACCUAACCAGAAAGCCACGGCUAACUACGUG
rnacentral:rRNA from 1 species